rnacentral:lncRNA from 1 species
GAGAAGAACAAGUGACUUGUCUAUGAACACACAGUUGGUCUAAGGAUUUAUACUGAAAAUUUAACAACUACCUUUGGAGAUAAUAGGUUUGAACCGGCUCCAGCAUAUUCAUGUAAUAGGGUCACCAAGAAGAGAGAUCAGAAUCUUCACAUUCUUUGCCUAGGACAAGAUAUUCAAAAGAGCCAUUUCACAGGGCCAAAGAAAGACAAAGCAAAACCUGAAUUGUGCCAGGAGAGCACACAGUUCAACAAAUAAGCCAAUCCAGGAAGGACUGAUGCACUUCUAAGCCAAUACAAAGGACUUGAACCUAAAGUGAAGACUCAAGGUUGCGAUGCUUAACAUACAUUAAGACGUAGGCCUUCCUUGUAUCCACACUCUUUGAAAAAAUACUUACAGAUGAGUAUCCCAAACUUGGCUCCUUACCUGGCUCCUAUAAUCUAGUCCCUUUUCUGUCUUUCAUAAUGUGGUAAACUUUCUGUAGU